UUGGACCUGAUAUCAGGCAAGAUUACCCGCUGAACUUAAGCAUAUC
rnacentral:rRNA from 4 species